UGUUGUCGUUACUUCCUACCCCAGGUAUGCGUUCAUGCUGUGUUGUGUUGUUAUUGUGUUGUUGUUGUUGUGUUGUUGUCGUUACUUCCUACCCCAGGUAUGCGUUCAUGCUGUGUUGUGUUGUUAUUGUGUUGUUGUUGUUGUGUUGUUGUCGUUACUUCCUACUCCAGGUAUGUGUUCAUGCUGUGUUGUGUUGUUGUUGUGUUGUUGUUGUGUUGUUGUCGUUACUUCCUACCCCAGGUAUGCGUUCAUGCUGUGUAGUGCUGUUGUUGUGUUGUUAUUGUGUUGUUGUUGUGUUGUUGUCGUUACUUCCUACCCCAGGUAUGCGUUCAUGCUGUGUAGUGCUGUUGUUGUGUUGUUAUUGUGUUGUUGUUGUGUUGUUGUCGUUACUUCCUACUCCAGGUAUGCGUUCAUGCUGUGUAGUGUUGUUAUUGUGUUGUUGUUGUUGUGUUGUUGUCGUUACUUCCUACCCCAGGUAUGUGUUCAUGCUGUGUUGUGUUGUUGUUGUGUUGUU